AUCUUUUUAGUAUAAAUAAUAUACUUGACUUCCAAUCAAGAGAUCUUAAUUUAAGAAAAGAUA
rnacentral:tRNA from 1 species